rnacentral:rRNA from 1 species
GAGGUAACGGCUCACCAAGGCAUUGAUGGGUACGGGGUGUGAGAGCAUGCCCCCGCUCACUGGGACUGAGACACUGCCCAGACACCUACGGGUGGCUGCAGUCGAGGAUCUUCGGCAAUGGGCGCAAGCCUGACCGAGCGACGCCGCGUGCGGGAUGAAGGCCUUCGGGUUGUAAACCGCCGUCGGAGUGGAGGAAAUUCCAGGGGGUACUCCCCCUGGAUUGACUAAUACUCAGAGGAAGGACGGGCUAAGUUCGUGCCAGCAGCCGCGGUAAGACGAACCGUCCAAACGUUAUUCGGAAUCACUGGGCUUAAAGGGUGCGUAGGCGGCCCGGAAAGUUGGGUGUGAAAGCCCUCGGCUCAACCGAGGAAUUGCGCCCAAAACUACCGGGCUCGAGGAAGAUAGAGGUAAGCGGAACUUAGGGUGGAGCGGUGAAAUGCGUUGAUAUCCUAUCGAACACCAAGAGGGAGAGCGGCUUACUGGUUCUUUACUGACGCUGAGGCACGAAAGCUAGGGUAGCGAACGGGAUUAGAUACCCCGGUAGUCCUAGCCGUAAACGAUGAGCACUGGGUUGGAGGGUCCCCCAUAACCUUCUAGCCGUAGCGAAAGUGUUAAGUACCCCG